GACGAACGCUGGCGGCGUGCUUAACACAUGCAAGUCGAACGGAAAGGCCCUGCUUUUGUGGGGUGCUCGAGUGGCGAACGGGUGAGUAACACGUGAGUAACCUGCCCUUGACUUUGGGAUAACUUCAGGAAACUGGGGCUAAUACCGGAUAGGAGCUCCUGCUGCAUGGUGGGGGUUGGAAAGUUUCGGCGGUUGGGGAUGGACUCGCGGCCUAUCAGCUUGUUGGUGGGGUAGUGGCUUACCAAGGCUUUGACGGGUAGCCGGCCUGAGAGGGUGACCGGCCACAUUGGGACUGAGAUACGGCCCAGACUCCUACGGGAGGCAGCAGUGGGGAAUAUUGCACAAUGGGCGGAAGCCUGAUGCAGCAACGCCGCGUGCGGGAUGACGGCCUUCGGGUUGUAAACCGCUUUCGCCUGUGACGAAGCGUGAGUGACAGUAAUGGGUAAAGAAGCACCGGCUAACUACGUG
rnacentral:rRNA from 1 species